AUCUCCUUAGUUUAAAAUUAAAUUUAGAAUUUAAUAUUUUAA
rnacentral:tRNA from 1 species